GGUGGGGUCCUCCGCAAUGCUGGUUGCUUUGCAGAUGCAGCGUGUGGUGUAGAUAUCUGAGAUGGUGGGGAGAGAGACUCCGAUGAUCUUUUCGGCUGUCCUCACUAGUCGCUGCAGGUUCUUGCGGUCCAUGCUGGUGCAGUUUCCAAACCAGGCAGUGAUGCAGCUACUCACGAUGCUCUCUAUAGUCCCUCUGUAGAAUGCGGGGAGGAUGGGAGGCGGGAGGUGGGCUUUCUUCAGCUUCCUCAGGAAGUGGAGACGCUGCUGGGCUUUCUUCACAGAAACAAAGAACAUUGACAUUG